AUUGAACGCUGGCGGCAGGCCUAACACAUGCAAGUCGAGCGAGCGGCGGACGGGUGAGUAAUGUCUGGGAAACUGCCUGAUGGAGGGGGAUAACUACUGGAAACGGUAGCUAAUACCGCAUACCAUCAGAUGUGCCCAGAUGGGAUUAGCUAGUGGGUGGGGUAAUGGCUCACCUAGGCGACGAUCCCUAGCUGGUCGGAGAGGUUGACCAGCCACACGGGACGUGAGACACGGUCCAGACUCCUCCGGUAGGAGGCAGUGGGGAAUAUUGCCCAAUGGGCGCAAGCCUGAGGCGGCCAUUCCGCGUGUGGGAAGAAGGCCUUCGGGUUGUAAAGCACUUUCGGCGGGGAGGCGUUACCCGCAGAAGAAGCAACGGCUAACUCCGUGCCAGCAGCCGCGGUAAUAC
rnacentral:rRNA from 1 species